CACAUGCCUGUAACCCUAGUGAUUCAGGAGGCUAAAGCAGGAGGAUCAAGAAUUUGAAGCCAGUCUCAGCAAUUUAGUAAGACCUGCCUCCAAAGAAAAAAAAAAGUAAAAAGCAGGGGGAAAAAAUCCUACAUUUUUAUCCUUCUCUUGGAUGACAAGGACCAAACCCAUUAAUUCUGUUUACUAUGUUCUAUGUGUGUAUUUGACUUGUAUGACCUGCAUCCUACCAAUGUGACCGUGCACGGGUGUAUUUAAAACCUGUGCGUCAUUAUUGUCACUUGACAUUCGUUUUGGUGAGAGAUGGAAUUCUCUCCCCUUCAGUACAUGGAAACCAUCAUUCCAUGGUCUUUCUGGCAUUCACUGCUACAGCUUUUGUAGGUGUUUUGUUUUUCCCCUUUGAAUGUAUUUAAGAUUUUCUCCUCUUUGGUUUUCUGCAGAUUCACCAUCACCUGUUUGUGUUUGGAUUUCUUUUUAUUAUACCAGUCAUUUUGUGGGUGUCCUGAAUCUGUAGUUUGGUAUCUGUCUUUUCAAAUAUUGCUUCUGCACACCCUCCCUCCAGUUAUAAACUUGUUAGGCUCCUGCUUUCUCGGUUUCCAUCUCUGCGUAUCACUAUCACUGGCUUUCCUUUCUUUCAUCUAUCACUAUAGCAAACUACACUGCUAGAUUUUCCAGUGUUGAGCCAACCCGUCACUCCCGAGAGGACUCUCAAUUGGUCAUUAUGUAACAUCUUCUUUAUAUGUUGCUGUGUGUGCUGGGUUUGCUAAACUCACCAAAGGCUUCUGUGAGCAUUACAAAUAUUGCUUGGGGUUUGCCUUUAUUAUAACAUCUUUUGUCUGGUCUUCCUAUAGGGCUGGUCCUCAAAAAUAAUUAGAAAAAUUUCCUCCCCAUCUAUUUUCUGAAAAAGAUUUUUGUCAGAUUAGUAUUCUUUUCUUCUUAAAUAUUUAGUACAAUUUUCCAACAAAACCAUUUGGACCUAAAAUUUUCU
rnacentral:lncRNA from 1 species